rnacentral:lncRNA from 1 species
UUGGGGGUGCUCCGACAAGACCCUCCGAUGCUCAAGUCAGUACUCUGCUUCAACAGAAAUGGAGUGCUCGAGCGAAAAAUUUGGCAGAGUUUCGAGAUAGAGUUUAGAGCUUAGAAAAGAAUGUAUCUGGGGGUCCUUAUUUAUAGACGGAGAGCGUAACUGACUGACAGCGACGUCUGUAAUCAUUUAGAAGUGGGCCAU